rnacentral:lncRNA from 1 species
ACAGAAACGCCGCUUGGCCUUUGGACUACACCAUCUGUCGCUCGCUCUAACGAGCCGGCGUUGCCGCCAGGGGACGCUCGGGCCGCAGGAGGUCGCUGGGUCGUGAGCUGGCGCCGGGGACGCCGAGCGACUGCGGGGUUUCCCUCAGCGUCCUGCUAUCCGGCUGCCCGCCGCGCUCCUUGGUAGUGUCCGUGGGCGCGCAGGCCUUGAAGAACCUCCUCGUGGCGGGACCCCGAGGUAACUGCUGAGGCAGAUAAUGGCGCCUGGGCUGCGGUGGGGCUUGUCCUGCCGCCUGGCGGCUUUCUGCAGGGCCAGGAUAUACUUACUUUUCUGUAAACCAACUCUUCCUUAGCGCAGGAGAGGUGUCAAAGAGCUGGCGCGUCUCCAGAGCCCCGGGAGGAAGGCUGUAACGGCAGCCCCAUCGUAGACAGGGACAUUCGCAUCCCGAGCCCUGGAUCUCUGAAAACCAGCCCAGAAUUUGGAAGCUGGAAGGAACUUUAGAUCGUCCAUUCUGAGUGUCUCUCUUCGCUGGCGUUUUCCCACUGAGGUUAUGUAAACAUGAAGAGGAGCCUACAAGUGUCAAGGAAAAAACGACAGCUAACCACAGGGCAGGCCAUGGGCAAGAUAUCUCAGUGUUCUCCGCUCUCAUAGGUCAGGUCACGACCCCCAGGAGACCUGGAGGACUGAAUGCUGCUGCCCCCAAGGAGGAGGCUGCCGUCUUAUCCCAGGAGGGAGAGCAGGUGAAGUCCCCAGGGGAGGAAGCACCUAGCCCCAUUCCUGCUGAGCAGGAGGUGGCAGGUACCCCAGACUGGGAGGUAAGGACAGCCCGGGGCUUCGACUGAACGUCUCCAGCGUGGGUCCAACUGAGCAGCCAUGGAGCACUGCAGAGUGGGAGGCAGCAGGGCAGGGAGGCAGUGCUGGAGGCUGGCUCAACCCCAAGACCAGCAGGCCAAGCUGCCAUCCCAGGGGAGCGAGGACGUCUGUGCAGAGCUGAGAGGCAGCAGCCAUGUGUGAACAGACUGGGCCUCAUCCUGGCCCCACCGACUUUGUGUGGACAGAGCCUGUUUCCCUGUCUGUGCAACACAGAACCUGCCUGAUCUCACUGCUGGAUCCCUCUUCUUCCUGCCAGGAAAAUAAAAAGGUUCAAAAGGAAGUUGCUGCGUAUCCAUCUGAGGCCUCUGAGGACAGCAAAGAGCAAAGGCCCUGGGACCGGGUCUACGUGCCCAUGACAGAGCUCUGGCUGGACUGGUUCUGAGCCUCUAACACCCCCAAGACUCAGAACCGUGAAGAAAAUCUUUCCAAUAAAUCCAAGAGUUGCUGCUGCUAUAGGCCAGGCUGCCACCUUUCGGGGCCUCCGUCUUCAGACAAACCCAGCCUGGCUUCAUCCACACUCCCUGUCCCCACAGCUGCAGGAACAGCACUUCCUGCCACCGAGCCGUGUGACCACAGUGGAUUGUCUCUGGAGGGGCCCAAGGGGGCCCUGGCCACCCUUCUGACUGACUCGGUGCCAGGGGACAGACCAACGUCCCUCUCGUGCUGACAGCCGGGCCGCACCCUGGCAUGAGGGCAUUUACAGAAAUGCUGGCGGAACUGCUGCCAGGGAGGCUGUAGGGUCCUCUGGCAAAAGAGGCCUCAGGUGGCUCCUCAGAGUGUCUGUGGUUCUCUGUCCCAGGCUGUUCCCUAAGAAGGUCUGCCCAGGACUCAGGUAAUCAUAUGCUCAUUAGAAACUCUUGGGCACUGCCUGUGUGCCCAGCCCAGCCCAUUAUGUCGGUGAGGACAGACGUGGAGGACAGCAGUCCCUGCCCUUGGUUGGGGCUCCAGGCCAGCAAGGGCCACAGCCCCAGAAGGCAGAGCAGGAAGACAGGACUCGGGGCAGCGCCAGCCUGGCCCUGAGUGCGAACUCGUCACUGGUCAGGGGUCCAGACAGCAGCAUCCCUGAGGGCCCAGAGAGGUGGCCAGUCCUGUGGUGAGGUUGAGAGGUGUCAACGUGCUGGUGGUCCUCGCUCGCUCUCAGCGCCUCCUCGGCCUCAGCUUCUGCUCUGACCACACUUGAGGAGCCCUUCAGCCCAGCGCUGCACUGUGGGAGCCCCUCUCUGGACUGGUGGAGGCUGGAGCCGGCUCCGUCUGCUUGCGGGGAGGUAUGGAGGGAGAGGCGUGUGCGGGAACCUGGGUUGCUCGCGGGCCAGCACCAGUUCUGGGUGGGCAGGGGCUCAGCGGGCCCUGCACUCGGAGCGGCCGGCUGGUGCCUCUGGCCCCAGGCAGUGAGGGGCUUAGCACCUGGGCCAGCAGCUGCAGAGGGGGCACCGGGUCCCCCAGUACUGCUGGCCUGCCGGCGCUCACCACACUUGAAUUGUCGCCAGGCCUCAGUCACCUCCCCGCGGGGCAGGGCUCAGGACUUGCAGCCUGCCAUGCCCAAGCCUCCCUACGGUGGGCUCCCUGCGAGGCCCGAGCCUCCCGGAUGGGUGCCUCCCACUGCUCCACGGCACCUGGUCCCGUCCACUGCCCAAGGGCUGAGGAGUACAGGUGCCCGGUGUGGGACUAGCAGGCAGCUCUGCCUGUGGCCCUGGCAUAGGAUCCACUAGGCGAAGCUGGCUGGGCUCCUGAGUCAGGUGGGGACUUGGAGAACUUUUAUGUCUAGCCAGAGGAUUGUAUAUGCACCAAUCAGCACUCUGUGUCUAGCUCCGGGUUCGUGCAUGCACCAAUUAGCACUCUAUCUAGCUAAUCUGGUGGGGACUUGGGGAACCUUUAUUUCUAGCUAAAAGAUUGUAAAUACACCAAUCAGCACUCUGUGUCUAGCUCAAGGUUUGUAAACACACCAGUCAGCACCCUGUGUCUAACUCAAGGUUUGUAAACGCACCAAUCAGUGCUCUCUGUCUACUCUAUCUAGCUAAUCUAGUGGGGACUGGGACAACCUUUAUGUCUAGCUAAGGGAUUGUAAAUACACCAUUCAGCACUCUGUGUCUAGCUCAAGGUUUGUAAAUAUACCAAUCAGUACUCUGUGUCUAGCUCAGGGAUUGUAAAUGCACCAAUCAGCUCUCUGUAAGUGGACCAAUCCACUGUCUGUAAAAUGGGCCAAUCAGCAGGAUGUGGGUGGGGGUCAGAUAAGGGAAUAAAAGCAGGCUGCCUGAAGUAGCAGCGGCAACCUGGUUGCCAUCAUUCUUUUGCUGUUUGCAGUAAGUCUUGCUGCUGCUGCUCCCUCAUUGGGUCCACACUGCCUUUAUGAGUUGUAACACUGGAAGGACUGCAGUUUCACUCCUGAGGCCAGUGAGACCACAAACCCACCAGGAAGAAUGAACAACUCCGUACGUGCAGCCUUAAGAGCCGUAACACUCACUGUGAAGGUCUGCAGCUUCACUCCUGAAGCCAGCAAGACCACGCACCCACCAGAAGGAAGAAACUCUGAACACGUCUUAACAUCAGAAGGAACAAACUCUGAACACACCAUCUUUAAGAACUGUAACACUCACCGUGAGGGUCCACGGCUUCAUUCUUGAAGUCAGUGAGACCAAGAACCCACCAAUUUUGGACACAAGGUGACAG